rnacentral:rRNA from 1 species
UAAGUACCCCGAGGAAAAGAAAUCAACCGAGAUUCCCCCAGUAGCGGCGAGCGAACGGGGAGGAGCCCAGAGCCUGAAUCAGUGUGUGUGUUAGUGGAAGCGUCUGGAAAGGCGCGCGAUACAGGGUGACAGCCCCGUACACAAAAAUGCACAUGCUGUGAGCUCGAUGAGUAGGGCGGGACACGUGGUAUCCUGUCUGAAUAUGGGGGGACCAUCCUCCAAGGCUAAAUACUCCUGACUGACCGAUAGUGAACCAGUACCGUGAGGGAAAGGCGAAAAGAACCCCGGCGAGGGGAGUGAAAAAGAACCUGAAACCGUGUACGUACAAGCAGUGGGAGCACAGAGCAAUCUGUGUGACUGCGUACCUUUUGUAUAAUGGGUCAGCGACUUAUAUUCUGUAGCAAGGUUAACCGAAUAGGGGAGCCGAAGGGAAACCGAGUCUUAACUGGGCGUUAAGUUGCAGGGUAUAGACCCGAAACCCGGUGAUCUAGCCAUGGGCAGGUUGAAGGUUGGGUAACACUAACUGGAGGACCGAACCGACUAAUGUUGAAAAAUUAGCGGAUGACUUGUGGCUGGGGGUGAAAGGCCAAUCAAACCGGGAGAUAGCUGGUUCUCCCCGAAAGCUAUUUAGGUAGCGCCUCGUGAAUUCAUCUCCGGGGGUAGAGCACUGUUUCGGCAAGGGGGUCAUCCCGACUUACCAACCCGAUGCAAACUGCGAAUACCGGAGAAUGUUAUCACGGGAGACACACGGCGGGUGCUAACGUCCGUCGUGAAGAGGGAAACAACCCAGACCGCCAGCUAAGGUCCCAAAGUCAUGGUUAAGUGGGAAACGAUGUGGGAAGGCCCAGACAGCCAGGAUGUUGGCUUAGAAGCAGCCAUCAUUUAAAGAAAGCGUAAUAGCUCACUGGUCGAGUCGGCCUGCGCGGAAGAUGUAACGGGGCUAAACCAUGCACCGAAGCUGCGGCAGCGACACUAUGUGUUGUUGGGUAGGGGAGCGUUCUGUAAGCCUGUGAAGGUGUGCUGUGAGGCAUGCUGGAGGUAUCAGAAGUGCGAAUGCUGACAUAAGUAACGAUAAAGCGGGUGAAAAGCCCGCUCGCCGGAAGACCAAGGGUUCCUGUCCAACGUUAAUCGGGGCAGGGUGAGUCGACCCCUAAGGCGA